UGGCAGAUGGUAAAUUCUCUCUCUCUCUCUCUCUCUCUCUCUCUCUCUCUAUAUAUAUAUAUAUAUAUAUAUAUAUAUAUAGAGAGAGAGAGAGAGAGAGAGAGAGAAUAUGUAUAUAUG
rnacentral:miRNA from 1 species